ACCCACAUAACACGACUUUACUCUUCUUCCAGACAACUUUCACAUUUUUCCAGCAAAACAACAUUCUGUCAGACUAGGGCAGGCGUCGGACCCACAUGCACAGCACAGAGGCGAGAUGAUGGUUAAACACAGGUUUAUUUUGCAAGGCAGGGUCAGACGGUCCAGGUCAUACACAAAGGCUCAGGGAGCAGGCAAUCUCUAGUCCAGUAAUCAGGCAAGGUUCGGUACACAGGAGGUCUCGGUGAAGGUACAGGCAAGGAUUAAGCAAACUCACGGUCAGAUGGUCAGUCACGGUUCUUUCACAGGCAGCGGUACAAACGAGGUUCAGGCAGGAAACAAUGGUCAAGGCAAUCAGGGUCAAACACAAGAGGCUAUACAUGAAUCGCUGGAAAGAAGUUCGGAACUUAACAAUCUGGCGGCUUGAGUCUGUGCGAGGUGGAUGCUAUAUACUGGAGGAGAUCGCUCCAGCUCCAGUUCCUGUCGGCCUCCAGGAGGAGGUCGCUCCAGCCUUAUCCCGGCCCUUUGUCUGGUUACGGCUCCACGUCCGUUCCGGCCUCUUCUUCCGGUCUGGUGGCCUCGCCCUCGGCCAUCCCUGCCCCUUGGUGGUGCUGCCUCCUUCGGUGUCGUCCGCCUCGGCUCCGCCGUCGUCACGGCCGCUCGCCUGGGGAACGCCCCCUCUUGCCGCGGCGAUGGCAUGGUCUCUGCCGUCGUCGUCCGCCUCGACUCUGGGAUCCUUGGAGCAUCGCCGCCGGGAGGAGGUUGGACUUGGCUCCGCCCUCCCGGACUCCGCCAGCCGUCGUAGGACCCGCCUGCCGUUCCAGCCCAGCGGCUGCUGGGUUGGGACGAUCCCCCGCUUCCGCCCUCCAUAUCUCACGGGGUUCCCCUGAGAAUGUGCAAUGUCUUGACUCAUAAUGGACCCCUGUGCUGACCCUCCUCCGGUCCUCCCUCCGCUCACCCUGCUUGUGUGCCUUGGCGGGGAGGGAUUCGGUCCCUCCUCCUGGGACCACCCUCCACCCCCCUGGUUGGGGGGGGGUACUGUCAGGUUAUGGUUUUAUUUCCCAUUUUAUUCUGAUGGACUUUGUUUUCACUUGUCAUGUUUUGGUUUCCUGUUUUAUUUUGUAGUACUUUCGGUUUCUGUUUGUGGUGUUGGUGUUUGGUUUCAACGAUUACUGGAAUAAACCUCAUUUUUUCACCA
rnacentral:lncRNA from 1 species